AUACUACUCCCUCCGUCCGAAAAUACUUGUCGGAGAAAUGGAUAAAAAUAGAUGUAUCUAAAACUAAAAUACAUUUAGAUACAUCCAUUUCUUCGACAAGUAUUUCCGGACGGAGGGAGUACUUU
rnacentral:pre_miRNA from 1 species